rnacentral:rRNA from 1 species
GAUGAACGCUGACAGAAUGCUUAACACAUGCAAGUCGUUGGGGAAGUGGUGCUUGCACCAUGGUAACCAUGGCGGACGGGUGAGUAACGCGUAAGGAACUUACCUGCGGGACCGGGAUAACAGCAGGAAACUGCUGACAAGACCGGAUAAGGUCAUUAAGCUGCAUAGCUUAGUGAUGAAAGGAGACGCCUGCGGAGAGCCUUGCGUCCUAUUAGCUAGUUGGAGGGGUAACGGCCCACCAAGGCGAAGAUAGGUAGCCGGCCUGAGAGGGUGGACGGCCACAAGGGGACUGAGAUACGGCCCUUACUCCUACGGGAGGCAGCAGUGGGGAAUAUUGGACAAUGGGGGCAACCCUGAUCCAGCAAUUCUGUGUGCACGAAGACGGUUUUCGGAUUGUAAAGUGCUUUCAGCAGGGAAGAAGGAAGUGACGGUACCUGCAGAAGAAGCGACGGCUAAAUACGUG